UAGAAUCAACAAGGUUCCUCAAUGUCUGAGUCAAGAGAAGCAUGUUUAAAUGAUCAGUCAUCCAACUAAUUUAAUUGCUAAACACUAAUCAAAUCAACAGGUUUGAGUCCUUACAAGAGCCUUUUCUAAAUGUAAACAGUUUAGUAGUAGAAGACUUUGGACUCUGCUUUCUCUAAAUUGUUUUAGUGACAAGUGACGUUGUGUUUACAUCUCUACCUCAUGAAUUUAUCGUUGCUUUUUAUUCCCUGUUGACUUUC